UUAUGGCCAUAUCACUUUUAAAACACUGGUUUUCAUCCAAUCACUGGUUAAACAAUGUUGAACCUGGUCAGUACUUAGAUGGGUGACCACUAGGGAAUACCAGGUGCUGUAAG